ensembl:lncRNA
AAGGUGGGGGCAGCCCUUUCCCAGGCGGUAGAGGGGGCGGUGGUGCUGUUGCCCUUUUAAGCUGCGGCUUGACAGGAGCCGCGCCUCCUGUCGGUGGAGUCGGUUACAAGGGGAGCAGCCGCCCAGGCCGCCACACAGCUCCCCGCAGAGGCCUCGGUGCCCCUUACCAUUUUCCAGCCGUGCUCCGACUACAGUGGAGGCAGUGGGGAGAGGCAGAGCGGCCAGAGCUCCCCCGGGCUGUCCUUCCGGGUGGUCGUGGCCAUGACAGGGGCUCCGGAUCGGCUCACCUUCCGCGCCCCUCCCGCCGGAAAUGAGGCUUCAUCAGCAAUUGAAGUGCUGGAUAUGUGGACUCCGCAGAUUAGAUAACCUUCCUAAGCACCUGGAUGUUGAGAUGCCAGAUCAACCACUACCCAUAGGUCAGAAUGGGACAACAGAAGAAGUGACUUCAAAAGAAGAGGAAGAAGAAGAGAUGGCUGAAGUAGGCAUUUUUUGUAAGAAUAACAUUUUGGCCAGGUGAGGUGGCUCAUGCCCGUAACCCCAGCAUUAUGGGAGGCCAAGGUGGUUGGAUCACCUGAGGUCAGGAGUUUGAGACCAGCCUGGCCAACAUGGCAAAACUCUGCCUCUACUAAAAGUACAAAAAAUAGCUGGGUGUGGUGGUAGGCACCUGUAAUUUCAGCUACUCAGGAGGCUGAGACAGGAGAAUUGCUUGAACCCAGGAGGUGGAGGUUACAGUUAGCCAAGAUCAUGCCACUGCACUCCUGUCUGGGUGACAAGAGUGAGACUCUGUCUCAAAAAAAAAAAAAAUCAUAAAUAUCUUCAGUUUUGAACAUUUGAGUCAUUCUCUAAUCUUCUUUAUAAAUAAAUAUUAAUGUAGAAUAAUUGAAAGCACAUCGUAUUUGGAAUGGAAUGUAACUUAUAAAUUUUAGCUUUACCUCUAACUCAUGAUAUGCCUUUGAGCAAAUUGUUUUAUCUGAAUUCUUGGAUUUGAUUUUCUGGUAAACAAAAGCUCUUAACUUUUAGCACUAAAAUUAUAUUUAAUACUAAUCAGUACCUAACCUGUAUUUGGUUAUUUUUUGGAAGAGAAACUACUGAGUUUAAAAAAUUUUAUGUUUGCAUAAAAGGAGAAUUUGAGAAUAUUUAAGGGACCACUUGCCAGAAGUAGUGAAACUGUCUCUUGUUGAAAAAUCAUUCAAAGAAAUUUGUCUUAAUCUGUUUUAUAGUGUUGUAGCAGAAUAACAGAGAGUGAGUAAUUUAUAAAGAACAGUCAUUUAUUUUCUGACAGUUCUGGAGUCUGGGAAAUCCAAGAUGAAAAUAUCAACAUUUGGUGUCUCAGGGCCUUUUCAUUGCAUCCUCACAUGGUAGCAGGAAGAAGGGCAGGAGAGCAAUCUAGUCCAAUGUGUGAAGCCUCAUUCAUAAGGGCCUUAAUCCCAUGAAGGAGGAAGGAGCCCUCUUGGCCUAAUCAUUCUUAAAAGACCUACCUCUUAAUAUCAUCACAUUGGCAACACUUGAAUUUUGGAGGGAAUACGUUCAUACAGUAGCAAAUUUAGUAGAGCAAAUUCCAAAGACAUUGAGCCUAGGCCAGUUGUCAGUCAUGGGUAUAAUUUUAGAUGUUUUUAGGCUCUGAAGCUUUUCAUUUAAACUUAAACUUUGGAACAAAGAUCUUCUAUGUCUCUGCAUUGACCAAAUAGAAUGUAUGUGAAUUCCAUGGUCUUGAUUGUUUUAAAAGAUUUUUUUCUGUUUGGGAUCUUAUAAUUAAUUUAGGCUUUCAUUUUCUUGGUUUGGAAAUUUUUAAUGUAAAAUAUACAUUAGAGGGAUUCAGAACUAAAAAAGUAGUGUUGUAGCCUUGUUUUUGUUUGUUUUUUGAGACAGGGUUUACUGUCACCCAGGCUGGAGUGCAGUAGCAUGGUCACGGUUCACUGUAACCUUGAACUCCUGGGUUCAAGCAAUCCUCCUGAGUAACUGGGACUACAGGCCUGUGCCCCAUGUCCAGCUAAUUUUUUUUAUUUUUAUUUUUUGUAGCAUUUGAGUCUCGCUCUGUUGCCCAGGCUGGUCUUGAACUCCUGGCCUCAGGUGAUCCACCACCUCAACUUCCCAAAGUGCUGGGAUUACAGGUGUGUGCCACUGUGCCUGGCUGUAGGCUUGUUUUAUGAGUCUGGGAGUAAAAUACUUCUUAAAAUUGUCCAAUUAGAAUGAGAGUCUGUUUCAAUGUUUUUAUGCAGUUUAGCUUAAGUGGAAUAAGCUGCAUGUAAACAUUAAACCUUUUCCAUGGGUCAGGCAGCCAUUGUACUAAAGUUCAUGAACCCUUUCAUUUUCCCUUCACAAGAUGAAAAACAAGGGACCGCAACUUUGAGGGAAAUCUAGAAAGGCAGGAGACUGGACUUUGGAGGUGUCAGAUUAGGACAGGUGAAAAGCAGAUAUUCUAGGCUCCUAAAAUAACAUGGGAACAAGCCCAGAAUGACUUUGGACAUGGUGUGUUUUGGUGCAUUGGAUGCUUUUGUUUUGAGAAGGAAGUUUGAUGUGUUGAAGUCAUGGAAUGCAAGAUUUUCCAGAAAAGGCAGAUGGAUAGAAUCUUGAAUUUGAGAUAGGCAUGUUUCUAUUUGGUGUGUUUGUUGAUAAGAAGGCCUUAAGCGGGGAAUCGUGUGCUGAGAAUAUUGUUUUAGAAAGAUACGUUGUUGGGAUGUGCUGAUUAAUACUGAGGUAGAGAAGUUUUGUGGAUGGGAACAUGACCGAAGUUGAAGGUACAGGAGGAAAUAUAGGCCAAAGGCAUUUGUGAGCAUUGUGGGGAAAAACAAGUGUAGGAUGGAAGAUCAGGGCUGAAAGGUGUAUACAGGGAGAAGGGAGCUCCAUGAAGUACAGAGUCAUGGGCAGAGGUUGAGUGAAGGUAAUCAGUAAUCUGAUCUAGAAAUCGGUUAGUUAGUCGGCUUGGAAAAAAAAAUCGAGAUAAAUAUAAACUACUCCUUUAGAGAUUUUGGCAGUUGAAGUGGAAAAAUAAGGUAAUUGAAUAAAGUUAGGAUUUAAACAAUUCUGCAUAUAUUUGUAUAUGUGUAAGAACAGAUAGUAUGGGAAGGGAGGGAGCAGAAUAAUGUGAAUUAAGAUGUUGUUCUGUGGGGUGUUAUUCAAAUUCCUUUAAAAUUAUUAUUAGUUUUUGAGAUAGGAUUGCUGUCACCCAGGCUGGAGUGCAGUUGGCAUAAUCAUAGCUUACUGCAGCCUCAAACUCCUGGGCCCAGAUGAUCCUUCUUUUUCAGCCUCAUGAGCACCUGAGAUCAAAUUCUUUUUCUAAUUUAUUUUUAAGUUAUUAACAUCAAUAGAUGCUUACUACAUAAAACCAUAAACUUGGAAAUUAGGGGAAAGCACCAAAUGUCUCCAGAGAUAACAACUAAAAUUAAUUGAAAUUAACCUUUCAAUAUAAGUUCUUCUGGUCUUUUUCUGUGCUUAUUUCAGCAUAAUUGAAAUUCUUUCUAUUCCUAUGUGUAUUCCAUUUUUCAUUUCAAAGUUUUUCAAAACAGGAGAAAUUAUGCUGUGUUGGUAUUUCAGUGGCCUUUUAAUAGUUAAAGGAAUUGAGUUAACUGUUUUACUAUUAUUGCACAUGCAGAUUUUGUUUGUUUUUGUGGUUGCAAGGUUGAAAUAGUUAUCCUUAUGCCUAAAUUUGUGUUUACAUCUUAGACUGGUUUCUUGGAAUACAACUCUAGAAGUCGAGUUUCUGGAACAAACUAUGAACAGUUAAGGUUCUUGACAUCUGCUGCUAAACUGUUUCAAAGGUUCCUCUUAAGAGGAGAUUUAAAAGAUGGCUUGGCCAGGCGUGGUGUCUCACGUUGGUAAUUCCAGCACUUUGGGAGGCUGAGGUGGACAGAUCACUUGACAUCAGAAGUUUGAGACCAGCCUGGCCAACAUGGUGAAGCCCUGUCUCUACUAAAAUACAAAAAAUUAGCUGGGCUUGGUGGUGUACAUCUGUAAUCCCAGCUACUCAGGAGACUGAGACAUGAGAAUCAUCUGAACCUGGGAGGCAGAGGUUGCAGUGAGCAGAGAUUGCCCCACUAUACUCCCACCUGGGUGACAGAGUGAGCCUCUAUCUUAAAAAAAAAAAAAUAAAAUAAAUAAAGAAGUCAAUAAAUAAAUGAUGGCUUAUUUCAUAAUAGUUGUGACUUUGUAAAGAUUUAAAUCUGCUUUACCCAGAGUCUAGCUAUUAAAUAAAAUACAGGAUAUAAAAGGUGAGAGCCUCUUGAAUGGAAUGUGGGGCUUUUUCUCUCUCCCCAUAGGAUAGAUAUAUUCUGUUUAUUGUCCACCAUUGAGUCAAGAAUAAUUUAACUUUUGCGUAAGAAACUGCUGAAGAAAAAUAGGUUGAAUAAGCUAACAUUUUUCUUUUUUUUGCAGGAUAUAGAAGAACUUAGAUCACUAUGAGAUGAAAGAAGAGCCUAUUAGUGAGAAAAAGUUGGAGGAUGAAGGAAUUGAAAAAGAAAAUUGGGCAAUAUUAGAGAAAAUUAGGAAGACUGAAAGGCAAGACCAUUUAAAUGUGUAAGUGUGUAUAAAUAUCUGGAGCCUGGACUUUUUGGUCAAGUAAUUAUAGUCAACACCAGGCAAUUCAUGAACAUGCUGAUCUCAGCUGCUCUCCUUCUCCAUUCCUGCUUUAGUGGUGGAUUCAGUCAUUUGUUUACUGGUUUUGAGACAGGAUCUUGCUCUGUUGUCUGGGCUAGAAUGCGGUGGCACAAUCAUAGUUCACUGUAGCCUUGGUCUCCCAGGCUCCAGUGGUGCUCCUGUCUCCAGUGGUCCUCCUGCCUCAGCCUCCCAAGUGCCUCAGACUAUAGACAUGUGGCACCGCACCAGGCUAAACUUUUUGAUUUUUAGUAGAGAUGAGGUCUCACUAUGUUGACCAUGCUGGUCUUGAACACCUGAGUUCAACCAUUCCUGCUACCUUGGCCUGACUAAGUGCUGG